rnacentral:lncRNA from 1 species
AACCCAUAAAGUGAUAGAAAGAUUGAAAAUGAAAGAAGAGAAAAGGAGCAUUAUUGAGAACAUUAACCAAAAGAUAGCUACAUUAAUAGACUUUAAGGCAAAAAGAAUCACUUCGGUAUAUGUCUCUACUGGAAUAUAACCAUCCAUUUUUAAUUGCCUUUUAUGCUAGUUGGUUGUCAUGGGUAAUGAUAUAUAAAUUAAUCUCCAGGAGCCAUUUUGUUAGACAAAGAACUUUGAUAUUUUCUUCUUCACCCUCCAACUAUAAUAACUAAUAAUUCUUUUAAAAUACCUUAUUUUUAAAUUUGUGUGUGAUUACGGUCAUAUCUUAAUUUAGGAUGAUUCCCUGGCCACAGCCUGCAUUGAUGUCAGAACCUCUUCCCUAGAGGGCACCUGGGUGGCUCAGUCAUUAGGCGUCUGCCUUCGGCUCAGGGCGUGAUUCCAGGGUCCUGGAAUGGAGCCCCACAUCCGGCUCCUCCGCUGGGAGCCUGCUUCUUCCUCUCCCAUUCCCCUGCUUGUGUUCCCUCUCCCGCUGGCUGUCUCUCUUUCUCUCAAAUAAAUAAAUAAAAUCUUAAAAAAAAAAAAAGAACCUCUUCCCUAGAUGAAUCCUAGGUUAUUAACUGCCUCGUGUCAAGGGAGACUGCAAGAAAGAACCCAGGAUGACCGCCCCUGGCAUGGGGAUGGAUAUAUGGUGGUGCCAAAUCCUGUGCCUGUGUUGCCCAGCUUUCUGCUGAAUUUUUGUCUCUGUCUCCCACAGUGUAUCAAAUGCUCAUCAAGUGGCUCCUCUCAUGCUAACUGCUUUCCUUAUAACAAGGCCAACAGUGGGAAGUAUUUGGUCCAGAACAGUCUUCCACCACCCCCACUGAACUUCCAACAUCUGUGGCAAGAAUAUUAGUUCCAAAUGUUACAUGUCCCCAGCAACAUACCAGAACUUACUUUGCCCCUCAGAGGAACAGUUGUGCACCUCCCGCCCAGCACUAAUCCUUCCAUGAUCAUAGCCCUGUCCCAGUCCCAAGGCUGCGAGUCACUGUAUAGACACACUCUUUAAUCAUUUUUACUUUCCAAACACUGCCCAUUUCAUUCUUUCUCUCCCUCUCCUCAACUGACUGCAGUGUUGCCCCUGGCUGCUGGAUCUUUGCAUAGACCAGACUUAC